rnacentral:tRNA from 1 species
GCCGAAAUAGCUCAGCUGGUAGAGCAACUGAUUCGUAAUCAGUAGGUCGGAGGUUCGAGUCCUCUUUUCGGCACCA